CCUAACACAUGCAAGUCGAGCGGCAGCACAGAGGAACUUGUUCCUUGGGUGGCGAGCGGCGGACGGGUGAGUAAUGCCUAGGAAAUUGACCCUGAGUGUGGGGGAUAACCAUUGGAAACGAUGGCUAAUACCGCAUGAUGCCUACGGGCCAAAGAGGGGGACCUUCGGGCCUCUCGCGUCAGGAUAUGCCUAGGUGGGAUUAGCUAGUUGGUGAGGUAAUGGCUCACCAAGGCGACGAUCCCUAGCUGGUCUGAGAGGAUGAUCAGCCACACUGGAACUGAGACACGGUCCAGACUCCUACGGGAGGCAGCAGUGGGGAAUAUUGCACAAUGGGCGCAAGCCUGAUGCAGCCAUGCCGCGUGUGUGAAGAAGGCCUUAGGGUUGUAAAGCACUUUCAGCGAGGAGGAAGGGGUUGUAGUUAAUAGCUGCAAUCUUUGACGUUACUCGCAGAAGAAGCACCGGCUAACUCUGUG
rnacentral:rRNA from 1 species